rnacentral:rRNA from 1 species
GGUUAAGCGACUAAGCGUACACGGUGGAUGCCCUGGCAGUCAGAGGCGAUGAAGGACGUGCUAAUCUGCGAAAAGCGUCGGUAAGGUGAUAUGAACCGUUACAGCCGGCGAUGUCCGAAUGGGGAAACCCAGUGCAAUUCGUUGCACUAUCGUUAACUGAAUACAUAGGUUAACGAGGCGAACCGGGGGAACUGAAACAUCUAAGUACCCCGAGGAAAAGAAAUCAACCGAGAUUCCCCCAGUAGCGGCGAGCGAACGGGGAGCAGCCCAGAGUCUGAAUCAGCUUGUGUGUUAGUGGAACGGUCUGGAAAGUCCGACGGUACAGGGUGAUAGUCCCGUACACCAAAAUGCACAGGUUGUGAACUCGAAGAGUAGGGCGGGACACGUGGUAUCCUGUCUGAAUAUGGGGGGACCAUCCUCCAAGGCUAAAUACUCCUGACUGACCGAUAGUGAACCAGUACCGUGAGGGAAAGGCGAAAAGAACCCCGGCGAGGGGAGUGAAAAAGAACCUGAAACCGUGUACGUACAAGCAGUGGGAGCACCUUCGGGUGUGACUGCGUACCUUUUGUAUAAUGGGUCAGCGACUUAUAUUCUGUAGCAAGGUUAACCGUAUAGGGGAGCCGCAGGGAAACCGAGUCUUAACUGGGCGUUAAGUUGCAGGGUAUAGACCCGAAACCCGGUGAUCUAGCCAUGGGCAGGUUGAAGGUUGGGUAACACUAACUGGAGGACCGAACCGACUAAUGUUGAAAAAUUAGCGGAUGACUUGUGGCUGGGGGUGAAAGGCCAAUCAAACCGGGAGAUAGCUGGUUCUCCCCGAAAGCUAUUUAGGUAGCGCCUCGUGAAUUCAUCUUCGGGGGUAGAGCACUGUUUCGGCUAGGGGGUCAUCCCGACUUACCAACCCGAUGCAAACUACGAAUACCGAAGAAUGUUAUCACGGGAGACACACGGCGGGUGCUAACGUCCGUCGUGAAGAGGGAAACAACCCAGACCGCCAGCUAAGGUCCCAAAGUCACAGUUAAGUGGGAAACGAUGUGGGAAGGCACAGACAGCCAGGAUGUUGGCUUAGAAGCAGCCAUCAUUUAAAGAAAGCGUAAUAGCUCACUGGUCGAGUCGGCCUGCGCGGAAGAUGUAACGGGGCUAAACUGUGCACCGAAGCUGCGGCAGCGACACUAUGUGUUGUUGGGUAGGGGAGCGUUCUGUAAGCCUGCGAAGGUGGCCUGUGAGGGUUGCUGGAGGUAUCAGAAGUGCGAAUGCUGACAUAAGUAACGAUAAUGCGGGUGAAAAGCCCGCACGCCGGAAGACCAAGGGUUCCUGUCCAACGUUAAUCGGGGCAGGGUGAGUCGACCCCUAAGGCGAGGCCGAAAGGCGUAGUCGAUGGGAAACAGGUUAAUAUUCCUGUACUUGGUGUUACUGCGAAGGGGGGACGGAGAAGGCUAUGUUAGCCGGGCGACGGUUGUCCCGGUUUAAGCAUGUAGGCGGAGGUUC